AGGGUAAUGCCUGCUUAUUUGCCUUAUUUUGCUCACUUCUGUCAAAUUCGAUCCACCUAUUGCGCCUUGUUUCUUAUCUGUCGUUUUUCUAAGCAAAGCAUAUAUAUCGUUGGAGUUUGUAUGGCAACAUGCCUUUUCUUAUUCUUAUAAAGCUUGUUCUCAGUUAAUUACUUAAUUUUAAUCUACGAAACGUACUCAAUAAACCUGUGGCAGCAGGUUUAAUGUGCUGACAUGUAUUAUGGCUGGCUACUUUUGAUGAUGAAAGCAUGGGAUAAUUGCUUGUUACUGAUUUUUUUUCAUGAAUACGCAGGAGAGCUGCGUAUCUUUGUAUUAAGAAGAUGUUGUAAAAAGGAUUAGUACAACGCGGGCCGUCCGGGUGCACGCACACGGUUAACAGUUUAUUGUCUAUUACAUGCGAGAUUAACAACCGUUUUAGAAUGAGACGAAGCUCAGUUUAUCGAUGAAGCCGUUCUCCCGUUGCUUGAGCUUCUGUCGCUGCCGGCCAGCCGAUGGUGACCAAAUGUUUGGCGCCCGCUGCUGACCAGAGAACGGUUUCAUCGAUGAGCUGCUGUAAAAGCUGCGCCGGCUGCAAGGGGGUGGCUCUGCCAAACACCCUGUUGUUGCGCUCUCUCCAGAUCAUCCAGGAUAUAAGCAUUAUGCUGGAGUCAAUACCUUUCUUCUGCGUAGCGUUCAGGCCAUGUCUCAUUUGGAGCCACCAUUCAGUUAAGCUCCUGCCCAGCACUGGACCGGGAACGAUAGAGUGCAGGAUGGACCUGAUGAGGUGCCAUAGCUGUUGAGUGUAUGAGCAGCGAGCGAACAGAUGGUCGGAGUCUUCUAGUUCCUGAUCACACAAGGCGCAGGCGGUGCUGUCCUGUAAACCACGACGAUGGCGUCUGGCUGCUGUCCACAAGCGAUCUCUGCAGGCUAGCCACAUGAAGAAGCACACCUUCAUCGGCGCCCAUGCUUUCUAGAUCAAUGAGCCUGCAGGAGAUGUUUGUGAUCCGAUGAAGAACGCCCGGUACGCAGACCUUGCUGAAUAAACCCCCGAAGGCUCCCAUUUCCAAGUGAUAACAUCUUCAGAACCUGGCCUUAGCUGAACGCGCUGCAGUUGGUGCCAGAGAAGCACAUACGGAUGGAUGGCCGGCACUGUUAGCUGUCCAACAACGUCGGAAAUCAAUUUCUUGUCUUGCAAAGCUUCAGACACUAGGCCCCUGUUUCUGACUCUGGACUUGACAGUGUUGCAAAGAUCAGGAGCGAUGGAGCAUGGCGAUGACUCACCAUUCCACCUGUCAAUCCAAAAUAAAGCUAGGUUGCCGUCCCCCAGUUGUACUUGAAUCGAGGCCUGAAACAUUUUCUGAAGCACGUUGUCAUUAUCAAACUGCAGAGCGAGGUUUCUCCAAGGUCUGUCAGGGUUGGCUCUUUUUAACCACAUCCACCUCAAUCUCAGGGCAUAGGAAGCAAUCGUAAGAUCUGUUGUACCAAGGCCUCCCAGUUCCUGUGGUCUGCAUGAUGCAGUCCAAGCGACAGGGCAUUGCCCACCAUGAGCCUUCUGCCUUGCAGCCCAGAGAAAGCUCCUUCGGCGCUUGUCAAUUUCACUGAUCACCCACUCAGGAAUCUUCAGCGAGAUGAAUGUGUGAGUGCAAGUUGAGGUCAUGACCACUUUUACCAUCGUCAGCCGGCCAGCUUUGUUCAUCAGUGAAGCUUUCCAGGUCGAGAUGCAGGCUGCUACUUUGUCUACCAGUGGCUGCAAGUGUACCUUUUUGAGAUGGCCAACAGUGAGUGGGAGGCCAAGGUACUGAAUGGGGAAUUCGGAGAUUCUGGCUGGGAGAAAGGUGCUGAUUCUUUGCACCUGCUCAUCGGUACAGGCAAUGGGGGCUAUGAGGCUCUUUUGAAGAUUGGUGUGUAGCCCUGAAGCGUUCCCAAAGAAAGCGAGUGUUUCUCUAAUGGUGAUCAUGUCCUGGGCUGUAGGAGAAGCAAAAAUCAUGACAUCAUCGGCAUAUAAGGAGCAUUGGUGUUGGAUUGCCGUGUGUGCCGGUGGGUGAAGCACUCCUGCUUGUACUGCUUGCUUGAGCAACUGGUGUAGCACCUCCAUGACAAUGAUAAACAACAUUGGAGAAAGGGGAUCUCCCUGACGUAAUCCCAGAGCAUUCCGAAUCAGUCUGCCUGGAUUGCCGUUGAGGAUGACUCUGGUAGUGGCUGAGGAGAUAAGUGAAGAGAUCCAAUCGCACCAUCUUGUACUGAAGCCCAUUGCCUGUAGGACUUGUAGGAGGAAUGCCCAGUUGACAGUGUCAAAGGCCUUCGAUAUGUCUAUUUUGAUUAGCAAGGUUGGUUUCCUGUUGCGGUGCAAAGUUCUUGCAGCUUGUUCCACGAACUUGAAGUUAUCAUGAAUGGACCUCUUUUGAAUGAAAGCACUCUGAUUGGUGUCUAUGAGGCGAUGCAAUUCCGGUGCAAGCCGGUUAGCAAGAAGCUUGGCGGCCAGUUUAGCAAAGCUGUGAAUUAAGCUGAUUAGCCAAUAGUCACCGGGGUGUAUUGGUUCUGAACUUUUGGGCAGCAGCGUGAUCUGAGCACCAUUCACCCGGCGCAGUUGUGCGCAGGCGUUUCUGUACAGCGCGUUGAAGGCUCCCAUGAUUGCUUCCUUGAUCACAGGCCAUGCCACUCUGUAAAACUCUACCGUGAACCCAUCUGGGCCGGGAGCCUUGUCAUUUGGGAGUGACUUCACCGUGCUCCAGACUUCGGCUUCAGAGAAAGGGCGAUCAAGCUGGUGGAGAUCAAUUGGCUGAAUAUUCAGAGCGGCGAGGUUGAUGAGCUCGGUUCUGUCAGAGGUGGUGCCCAGGAUGCUGUUGAAGUGCUGAAACAACAUUGUCUCCUUAUCUUCUUGCGUGACAGCCGUGUAUUCCCCGAGCUGCAGCCUAGUGAUGAACUUUUUCUUAGCACGAUGGCCGGCUUGCAUACGGAAAAGACGUGUGUUGGUGUCCCCAUCACGAAGAUGUGUGAUGCGUGAGCGGAGUCAGAUCAUGGUCCUUUCCAGGGAAGAAAGGCCUAAGCUUUUGAUCUUGAGCUCUUUCCUUAACCGGUAUUCCUCCAAGGUGAGCUGCCUCUCCUCCUGUGCUUUGUCGAACCAGUGAACGAUAGUUUUGGCCACGAGCAAUUGCAGCUUGAUUUGUCCUACGUUCCUUUGGCUCCAGCUUUGGAGUUCCUUGGUAGUGUUUCUGAGCAUGGCGUCUAAACGUGUGAAGGGGUCAGUGACGAGCUCAGAACACGUCCAGACUUUCUGCAAAGCUUCCUCGAAGCCGGGCAUCUUGAUCCACCAGUUCUCAAAAUGGAACCGACGUUUUGCACUGAAGUUUGCAUUCGUUGCAAGGAGGAGCGUGCAGUGAUCCGACAGCCCUGACGCGAGCGCUUGCAAGAGGCAACCGGGGUAGUUUAGUUCCCAGUCCACCGUGACUAAGAUCCUGUCCAACUUUUCCAAGGUUGGGCAAGCUCUCUCAUUACUCCAAGUAUAUCUUCACCCGUGCAGGUAUACGUCUUUGAGCUGCAGCUCGUUGACAAAACGUCUGAAGCGGCCCAUGUUCCUUCGGUUGAGGUAGUCAUUGCUUUUAUCGGAGGCACACAGGAUGAGAUUAAAAUCUCCUACGUUCAUCCAUGGGCCAGUGAUGCGGCUGUGGAUCGAGCGUAGCUCGUCCAAGAAGACGAUUUUAUCUUCAUCAGGCUGCGGGCCGUAUACUGAGGUUAGGCACCAUGGUUGAGUUUGGGCGCCCGUCGUGAUGGAGACAGUAACGGAGUAGUUCCCGGUUUCAAUGGCGGCACAGGUGAUUUCAGGGCUCCUGCACGCGAUCAGCACUCCACCACUCACACCAGAAGACGGCAAGUAGGAAUAACUCGCGAAGUUACUUCCCAACAUUUCAGAGAGGAGGAAGGGGGAGAUUACUGCCAGCUUCGUCUCCUGGAGACACACGAUGGACGCAUUCGCGUCGUGCACCACUUCCCGGAGAGAGUCUCUACGGGUUCGCGCGUUGAGGCCACGCGUGUUCCAAACUAAAACAUUUUAGUUGCACAAGUCCAUUGCUAUUGUCGACGUUGGUGCUUGAGCAGGUGUAGCGUCAGUGUGCGGCGACCGCUCCACCGGCCAGCGAGGUGAUUCUCAUCAGCUCGUCGUCAGAGAGGGCGUUCGCUGCAGGGAAGAUAUCCCUAAGCGCGGCAAAAUGUUUGGGUUGCAUCGUGGAGUGGAGGAAUUUGUCAAACUCAGCGGUGGACACUUGCUCAGCAUCUUGCUCGCGGGGGACAACGCCUAGCUUCUUCAUGACCAAGAUUUCACCCUUCUUCGACGGCCUUACGGUGCUGUUCAGAGCCUGAUUGGCCAGGCGGCCACUGCGACGUGGAGUUGGCGCCGCUGCUGGGGUGGUGAUGGCUGGUCGUGCGGUGAGCGGAGCUUGCAGAGCAAGGCAGACGGAGUUGAGGAAUGCCGUCAUCCGCACGAGAGCCGCCUCAAAGCUGGGCCGGGCGGUGGGGGAGCUCACGUUCGUAGCAGGCGACGCCGUAGCCGCAAUACUGUGUUGAGGGCCCGCAACAGGGCACGUCCUGGGCGUGUCAUCCGCAGGCGCGGCGCGCCUGGCCGUGGUGGACUGUCUAGGUGCCGGCAUAGCAAGAUGGUCACCAUGGACUUGCAGCUCGUUACCACUGUCGCGCUGGGCAGCGUGCGGUGUAGGUGCGUCAGGGACCGAUGUUACUGAUAUAUCCAUAGUCCAUUGUUUGGUCAGCAUGGUAGCACUGAUUUUUUUCUGUCUUGUUAGAUUGCUUGGAUCGAUUGCUCGUUCUGUUCCUGUGGGGAUUUUCUUUGCCAUGAGUCCUCGAAUCCAAAUUUUUCUUUCUGGGAUGGGGUGCGCUGAGUCAUUCACCCACUUUGCUGUCGAUAUUUCUGCGAGUGUGGGAGGGAAAUGUGUUUGGUUAUUUUGAGCAGGCAUGGUUGAUGAACCUGCUCAUGAUCAAUUGCUGAAUUGGUUUAGGAGAAGGUGUUUGUGGAUCGAUGGUUGGGAAAUAUGUGACUUGAUAUUGAUUUUGCAGGUGCUGGCAGCUGAUUGAGGACAGAACCAUACAAUGAUGUUCUCCUUGUUCUAUGGCCUAUGGAACCAUAUCUUCAGCAAGACGGAGUUCCAUGUGCUUAUCCUCGGAGUUCAUAAGGAUGGGAAGCCGGUAAUUCUUCUGAAGGUUGUGUAUCCUAAUUCCUAACCGUGUUCCUUAAAUUCCCUGCGGUUCCUGAGUGCUAGAACUAUUAGGUUGAGUUCAUUUUGUACUUAUCUGAACUAUGUCUAUGCCAAACUUGAUUGCAGUUAAAACAUGGCUAUGCAGACCUUGCUAGAAAAGUUGAAGUUGAUCUACCUGAAGGGAGAAGGUCUUCUGCAUGAUCGGAUUGUUCCAAUAGUUGGUCUUAAUAUUGGGUGUAUUGAAGAUGUGAAUGUAAAGCUUGUUUUCUGGGACCUGGGAGGUCGGGUAUGGUUUCUCCUGCAGAGUUAUAGACUCGUCAUCGACAAUCUUGUCGUUGAAACUUCUCCAUUCAGCAUGAGUUGCGGUUGAUCGCUUUAGGUUUCAGUCAUUUGGUUAAUUUGAGUUAGCAAUGUAACUUCUGGUGACAGAACUUGUUACAAUUCUCAAAUAAAAACGCCUGGAUCAUGUAUCUAGCCAUAAUCUGUAUGCUUAAACAUGAGGUUUUCCAGUGGGCUGGUACAGUUCUAGAAUAUUGAAGCGUGUGCUUGUACUCAAGGCAUGUAGUGAUCAGUUUUUAUGUUGCUUCGCAUUAAAACAACCACAACCACAACAAGAGCCUGUAGUGAUCAUGUCUUUAUGUUUUCCACAUAUAUCAGUUCCUCUUAUCUUAAUUUAGUGUAUUAAAAACUUGCACAUCAACGCUGCAGAGAUAAUCAUCUGCAUCUAUUGCUUGUUGCCAUUGGUUGUGCAAAAUCUUCCUCAUUGACUUGUCAUCAUCAUUAAGAGCAUAGGCAUUGAUCUUGACAAACUGAAUCAAAUCAAAUUCCAUGUGUUUUCUGUGCGUGCUUUUUCUUAUCAAAUUAUUCUGAAUGUUGGACAGGAGAUGUGAUCAUUGAGCUCGUUUCUAGCAGUUAUAUAAGCCGAUAGCCAAACAAAUAUAAUAUAAGUAAUCAAAUCUGCUACUAGGAAGGUACUCUUUUUCUUUGUGAUUUGCAAGCAGUAUUGAUAGGCUGAUAUAUAAGGUAUGCAACCAUGGGCGAAGUUUGACUAAUAUCUCAAUCUUCAGCUUUAGCAGUCUAUCGGUGUCACAUAUGAACAUACAAGCAAUCUGAAUGUUUGUGCUACUAGCACAUUUCUGCAUCCUGAAUGCAGCUAAUCAUACCGGAAAAGGGGAAGCUGUAGGUAACUUCAUUUUCUUGUGAUCUCUUCUGCAAUAAGUAUGUCUGGUUGCAGUUGUAAUCUAAACACACAGGACGAUGUUAUGCUUUGCAGUGGUUCUGAACUUCUGAUCUACCAAUCUUUCCUGAACCUUUAGGUGUAAAGCUGAGUGAUGCUUCGAAGGAGCUUGGGAAGAAGGUUGCAACUAGAGAUUUUGCUGUUAAGGUAUCCUAUAGGUUGUUCCCUCCUGUCACUAUUGUUUAUAUAUUUUUCCCUUAGCUAUUUCUUGAUGGCAUGUUUCUGUAUUUUUCUUUGUGGUUCUUGCCUCGAGUUCAAUUUUUGCCCUGUUAGAGAAUACGGAAUUAGAUAGGACAGGGGGGAUAUCAUUUCAAGCAGGUAGUUUGAGAACCAUGACCUUUAGUUCUUUACAUUACAGCUUCAUUAUUUAGUUCUGCCUUUAUUAAUGAUACUGUACUUGGUUAAUUAUUUUUUCUGAAGUCUGAACUUUAUUAUCAAUUGAUGGAGUAUUGGAUGCCUGACCUGUCCUACUUUUAUAAAGCAAUGGAAGAUUCUAAAACCCUAGCAUCUGCAGAUUGUUCCCAAUAAGAUUAUGUUUUGUUUCAGCAAUGAGGUUUGUUGUUAAAUAGGAUUCUGUAGCUGUUUAUCUGGGUUGAACACUAAUACAGAUAUCUCAAUCUCAUGUUAAAUCCUACCUGGUUAGGACUAUUGUCAUUAAAAACAUAAGUUUGACAUUCAUUGUUUGCAGAGUUCUACUUCUAAGUUUCUUUAAUUUGCAUAAUGAACAAUGCAAGCAAUCUAUAUUGGAGAAAAUUCAGGCAAAUCAAUUUGAGGCACUGGCCUCUGUUGAGGAAAGACCUCUGAAAAAUAUGGGGUAAAUAGCCUGAAGUGGAAACCAUUAACAAAAGGCCGGGCGGAAAAGGAGUCAUCACCGGACCAUGUUAGUUUCAUUCUUGUUGUCGGACACACUACAGUACUUGAGUUUCAUCCUUGUGCUCAUUAUGGUUGGGUCCUCUGGUCAGGUAUAUGUGAUCCAUAGGAGUAGCUUCUUGUUUUGUUGGCUUUUUCAUUGUAAGACCUGCAAUUCGUUCUUUUGUUUCAAGCUCGUGCUUUGAUCCUGUAACUUCAAAUGUGAUUUAUUUAUGCAACAAGAGUGUACAGUCAAUUAUUGUUACCUAUCAAUAGAAGGUUACUCUCCUAGUGUGUUGUUGUUUUAUAUCUUAAUUUCACCUCAAUCAUUUCGAUUUGGAUGGAUUAUUGGUGGGUUAUAGAGCUUGUGUUUUAAUUGUCUUAAUUAAUUACUUUAAAUGUAAAUGUCUUGAAGUGCUUAAUAUGCCUUCAACAUUCAAAUCUAUCAAGCAUUCUAGGCUUUUAGCUUGUUUUUUAGAAUGAACUGUGUGUACCAAGGAUUUUUUACAUGAAUGUAUGGUUAAUUUCUCGAGAAUGAAUUGGAUUUGCUCUAAAUAUGUAGUCCCAGCUUACACCCAGGAGAAAACUUUGGCUUCCUUGAAUUCUAUGGCAAUGUUUACCAGGUCCAAUCAAUUGUUGAGAAUGCAAUAGUACUCUUCAAUUAUUGCUGGGUGUGGCCUGGUCCAGCACUCCACCGAGGAAAUAUUUGAACGCUUAUCAUGCGUUCAUUCAGGAAUGUAGCCUUUCUUGAAACUCCGGGUGGUCGUACACAAGAUGCAGUCCACUUAAAAAAUGUUUAUAGUCUGGUGUCUGGACAUGGUGUUUGCAGGUGCAAAAAAAGGUUUUGAGUACGAUAUUUGGUGCUGAUAGCAUUGCAUGGGUGAUGGGUGAGCUCCAGUAAGACAAACAUCACGGCUAUAUAUUUUUUUUCUCUCUAAAAGACACCUAUAUUGCUGGGCUGCUUGAUGCCUCUGCCCACGUUUGCUCGUAGCAACAGCAACGCACGGGCACAUUCCUAGUCUUCUCUUAAUAAACGAAUGAGCUAGACAUUUUUUUUGCGAUCUUUCGGGCUCCCACCCUUCGCCGUGCGUCUGCCAUCGAGCAAUCGCGAUCCUCGCUACGACUUGCGGGCGUCGAUCUUCCCCCUCGCCAAAACAAGAUCAACUCCGCAAAGAUCGCCUGUCAGUUUCUUUCCGUAACUUCUCCUGCUCCUUCGCUCUUUUUCAUCUCCAUCGCACCUCCGCGGUUCCUCCGCACGUCGUCCCUGUCGUCCAUCGUCGCCUACUCAUCCCUCGCCCGUGCCAACGCACGGCUGUCUGCAUCUGCACGCGGUCAUUGUCAACGUCGGCGGCGCCAUAAGAGCCCCGCCACCACGCAUAAGAAGGAGAGUCAACAGCCGGCCUCUUCCCUUGCUUCUCGGUUUUUUUCUCUCCAACUGCACGCGAUCAGAAUCGAGCCUCCACGUUCACGCGACGAUGGCGCCGCACUGGUGACCAAGGCAAUUACCUCCUCGCGCGAUCAGUUGAGAAUACAUGCAUGUCUGGGUGCAUAUCAAAAACUAUAUACGGAUGUGCUAGCACCUGAACGUCCGAUAAUUUUUUUUAUCGGACGCUCCGUCGCAACAUUGAAAAAUAACUAUCAAAACAUCAAAAAUCAACACUUGCAACAUGAAAAUAUGCACUAAAAAUAGUUUUGGAACUCAUGCACGCCAUCCAUCUCAAGGAUAAAAAAUCCUCAUGUGGAACAUUUCAUCAUGUUUCAUGCAACAUUCAUCAGAAGAUAAAUUUGCAACACCUUUACGUGCAUGAAACAUCUCGAAUCGCUUCGUACAACAUUCAAAACAGACACAUUGCAACAAUAAAAAUCACAAGUUGCAACAUCUCGAAUAGAAACAAUCUUGCGAUCCCGACCAAAUCAAGUAUUGCAACAACCAAAAAAAGCAUCUCUUACAGCAUUGCAACAAUAAAAAAUCAUCUCUUACAGCAUUGCAACAACGAAAGAAAAAGAGGCCGAAACAAAGAAAACAACCAUAUGCAACAUCGUGAAUAAGUUGGUGCAACACCCGAUUGCUAGCAAGUUGGACUGUUGCAAACAGAUGAAACAUCAAAAGCCAACUGUUGCAACAUCCAAAAAUCUCUACUGCAACAUCAAGAGGUACCUAUCGCAACAUGGAGUCGUCAGUAGGUGCGCCGACAUGGGUGCCGACUUCUCCUAGCCGAAGACACCCUCGCCGUCGACGAUGUAGACGAAGGCGUUCCAGCCCUCCAGGACGGGCUGGUGGAUCUGGGAGCCCGGGCGCAUGGUGAAGUCCAUGUACAUGGUCGGGGUGUGCGUGUCGAUGAGCACGUCCAUGCAGAUGACGAUGAAAGUGAGGUCCCAUAGAAAUCGAGCAUCAUUACAAUGCGGGAGUAGGCCAAUCAGUGUGUUGCUGCUCCACCGUAUUCCGCCAUGGCCUACUGCAUCCACAUCGCCAUGCCCUUGCAGCAGCCCCUAUGUGCAGCACGCCCCGUGGCACAACCCGCUGGCCGUUGCCGUCGAGGAGCAGUACCGAGUCCAGGGCACCUCGCAACAGGAUCUCAAGGGACAUGGUGUUCUUCUCUAUGGGAAAGGGAUAAGAGCAAAAGAAGAAAGGAAGGUGAAUGAGUGGUCGAGAGUUACCUGCACUUCAGGGCGCUUCUAGUAAAAGUUCAUAUGGGCAGGGAUGAGACACGUAUUCAUGGUGGAAAGUUGGCCAGCGAGAUUAAUAAUUAAGCAAGCACUAUGAGCUGUGAGCGAGCGUCCAAUUUUGUAGGUUAGGUCAGACGACCGGGUAGUAGCAUUACCGAACUAUAUAUCUUGAGAAGCUAAAACGAAUAGCAAUCUGAUGAUCGGGUGGGAACUGGGAAGUAUAUAUAUAUUGCCUAACUACCCAUGUUAAUUCCUAAUUAGCCAGGAAAAACGGCAACGGCCGCGGAGUACUCUUCGCAGGCGCCGGAGGAAGCCGCUGCCGCUCGGAGCUUGCCGUCGCCAGCCACACAGAGACCGUGCCGCUGCCGCUUCUUCCCGUGCCUUCUCUGGCCAAGUCGCAUAUGGCCACCGCCCGUCGUAUACCUAGGUGAGCAGCCCCUAUGAUCUUCCUCGGCGCACUACGGGAAACCUCAAAGUCGCCGAGUGUAAUUACUUCGCCGAGUGCAUUUUUUCGGGCACACGGCGAAGGACCGUUUUGCCGAGUGCAAUAUCAAAAACACUCGGCAAAAAUAAAACACUCGGCGAAGGACCGGUUUGCCGAGUGCCGCCAAAAAAACACUCGGCAAACACCCAGGAGGCACUCGGCAAAGUUGGACACUCGGCAAACUGACGACCACGUGACUUCCCCGUGCCGCCGCCGGCGGCCCUCCGUGACGGACGUUAGUCUUUGCCGAGUGUCAAUGGAGGGCACUCGGCAAAGGCACUAGUUUGCCGAGUGUCGUGAUGGGACACUCGGCAAAGUGGCCUGUAUGCCGAGUGCUAGGGGGCACACUCGGCAUACUAUAGGGUUUGCCGAGUGUCUUCUGACACACUCGGCAAAAAUAAUUUUUUUUCCCUCCUCCACCCUCCAAACUUUUUACACUCCACAUGUAUGGCAUUUGGCACUGCAUGGUAGAAGAUGGACUAUUUUUUGACCUGUUUGCUAUAUUUAAUCAAUUAAUUUCAUUUAGAGUAAUUUUUUGAUUUAAGUCAAAUUUGAACUGCAAGUGGUUGGAAUAAUGGAAUAAUAUGAGUGGAAAAAUCAUAUUCAUGUUAGUGAGUCCAAAUUGAGGUCUCACCCAGAAAAUGAAAAGAAAUUUCGAACAUUUUGCUAAGGAAACACGACUACGAACGUGUGGCCAAAUGAUUGUUUAAUUCUCAAAAAUACAAACGAAGUUUGAAAAUCAUGAGAUUUUGCAAGAUGCUAUGAUUUCAUAUGCAGAGGCUGUGGUAAAAAAUUGACAAGGUUUCGCACAAGUUUUGACAUAUGAUGUUUAGAAUUCGAAGCAUCUCCCGAGAGAAUUCGUAGAAGUUGAAAGGAUCCGGUAAGAUUUUGAGACGAAUCGAUACAUGUAUUUCUCAUUGAGUCCAAUUUUUUUUAUAGGCUAUAGAGAACAUAGAUUGGUUCAUGUCAAAUUUUGGGAAUUUUUCAGAUCCGUUUGGUAAUUUUUAUUCAUUAAUUGCACGUAUAUGAAUUUAAUAGAUAUAAAUUUAAUAUGAGCUAUAAAUCCAUGAAAUGAUGGAAAAAUAUUACUUAAAAAAUGAAAUACGCAAUGUUUAGUGAAUUUGACUAGGUUUUUGCAAACUUUACAAUCUUUUAAUUAAUAAAACUAGUUUGACAUGAAAUAAUAGUACUCAUUUGCCGAGUGUCAGGGGAUGGCACUCGGCAAAGAGCCUAUUUGCCGAGUGUCAAAUUUGGGACACUCGGCAAACAUCGCCGCGGUCCACCUGCCAGCCCCCUACGAAAUCCGAAUAAAAAAAUUAAAAAAAAAUGUUUGCCGAGUGCUCCUGAUCUAGCACUCGGCAAAGCCUUUGCCGAGUUCUAGAUCAUAAGCACUCGGCAAACCUUGCCGCGGUCCACCUGCCAGCCCCCUGCGUAUUUCGAAUAAAAUAAUUAAAAAAAAUGUUUGCCGAGUGCUCCUGAUCUAGCACUCGGCAAAGCCUUUGCCGAGUGCUAGAUCAGGAGCACUCGGCAAAGUGGCCCUAUCCACACUUAGCCACGCACGCACACGCCCGGCCACACGCACGCCAACAGCCACGCACGCACACGCCCGCGCCUGUAGCCGCCCCGGCCCCCGCGCCCGCGCCGCCGCCGCCGCCGCCCGGCCCCCCGCGCCCGCGCCGCCGCCGCCCCGCGCUGUCGCCCCCCGCGCCCGCCCGCGCCGCCGCCCCGCGCCGUCGCCGCCCGGCCGCCCCGCGCUGCCGCCGCCGCCCGGCCGCCUGGCCGCGCCGCCGCCACCGCCGCCCGCCCGAGCCGGGAUAAGGCCCCGGCCUCCCCUGCGCCCCCGGCCGGCCUCCCCUGCGCCCCCGACCGGCCUCCCGCGCCGGCCCCCCGCGGCCGCCCUCGUCCGGCCGUCCGGCCGCCGCACCGUCCCCCGGCCGCCCCCGCUCCUCUAUUCGUGGCCGUCGCCCCUCCGGUAAGUUGAAAAUGUUGAAAAUAUUAGAGAAUGCAUGAUAACAUUGCAAAGAAUAGAGGAAGAGUAGAAAUUAGAAAAUGUUGAUUCUUCCUUGAAUGGAAAAAUAUUAGAGAAUAGAGGAAGAAUAGAGGAAGAAUAUUAGAGAAUAGAGGAAGAAUAGAGGAAGAAUAUUAGAGAAUGCAUGAAUGGAAGAGAGGUGUGGUUGGUAGUAGAGAAAAUGUUGAUUCUUCCUUGAAUGCACGGUAAGCUAAAGGAAGAGUAGAAAUUAGAAAAUGUUAAAAAGAAUAGAGGUGUGGUUGGUUGUGGUUGUGGUUGUUGGCCAUCGUGCCAACUCUUUGGUGAGAUUGUGGUUGUCGGCCAUCGUGCCGUUUCUUAUGUUGCAGGUUUUGGAAAGCUCCCCGUGUAGGGGAGUUGCUGCCAAAAUUUUGACUUAAACAAUGCUUUGUUUCUUUUGUUGCAGGAGAGGCUUACAAGGACCGUCCUCGACUCGUCACUUUGCAGGAUAGCAAGGUGAGGCAUGCUACACCUCUAUUUCCGUAUAAUGUUCGUAUAUCACAUAACCUAGUUAGGCGUCUCCCGUUCGAAAGAGAUACGGUUGGAAAUAUGCAGAUCUUUGCAUAUCUAUAAUCGUAUCUAUUUCGAAUUGUCCACGUUUUUUGGAUAGCCCAAGGAUGUGUAGGUGGGUUUAGUAUCCAUGGUCUACUCCGACCCGAGAUAAAAUUUCGGCAGCACCUCCUUGUUGUUCUCUAGAUACACAAUCUCCUAUCAAGGACGUGUAUUUGGAGAACAGCGGGGAGGUGCUGCCGAAAUUUUAUCUCGGGUCGGAGUAGACCAUGGAUACUAAACCCACCUACACAUCCUCGGGUGGGAUUAGGACCUAUCUUUACCUAGUAGACAAUAUAGGAACGUGUAUAUGCAAUGUGAAUUUUGUAUUACUUAUUUAAAUGGUAGAGGAUGGAGGAUCGUCAGUGGAUGUACACGGGUCGCACUAGUCAGAAUACGUUGACCAAUGAAUGGCUUGACAAGACGGAUGCUUUCUUGGAACGGGCGUUUGCAAGUGUCAAUGGAGCUCGAUCGACUUGGUGUCCGUGCAGCAAAUGUGGAAACAUGUGUCGGCAAACCAAGCUAGACAUGGGCAAACAUCUGGUGAAGAACGGAUUUACGUCAGACUACACCAGGUGGAUCUACCAUGGUGAAUCUGACCGUGGGAGAGAGGAGGUCUUGAGACAACGCAUCGAGGAAUUUGAUGAUGAUGCCGGGGUGGGAGACAUGUUAAAUGACUAUCAUGAAGCACACUUCGAAGAGGCACGUAGGGAGGAGGAGCCAGAGGCUACCGCUAAGGCUUAUUACGAAAUGUUGUCUGCGGCACAGCAACCCCUUCACGGCCAUACCAAGGUUUCUCAGCUAGAUGCCAUUGCACGCCUAAUGGCUGUGAAGUCUCAGUUUAGUUUGAGUCGAGACGCGUUUGAUAUUAUGUUGACAGUUUUUGGAAGCCUGCUCCCGGUUGGUCACAUCUUGCCAAAGAGCAUGUAUGAGGCACAGAAACUCCUUCGUGCACUUAAGAUGACAUACGAGCAUAUACAUGCUUGCCCGAAGGGAUCCAUCUUAUUUAGGAAAGAGUAUGCAGAAGCAAAAUACUGUGUGAAGUGUGAAUCGUCUAGAUUUCUGGAGGUUGACUAUGGUGACGGUCAGAAAAAGCAGUUCGCAAUUCCUGUGAAGGUUCUACGGUAUCUUCCUUUCAUACCGAGGAUCCAACGGCUUUUCAUGACUGAAGAAUCCGCGAAACAGAUGACAUGGCACAAAAAUGGCCGUCGCUAUAAUCCUGAGAAGCUGGUACACCCAUCCGAUGCUGAAGCCUGGAGAAGCUUUGAUGCGAUUUAUCCUGCAAAAGCUCUAGAGGCCCGUAACGUACGCGUUGCAUUGGCAACUGAUGGGUUCAAUCCCUAUGGUAUGGCGGCCGCCCCGUACACCUGUUGGCCCAUUUUCGUUAUCCCCCUGAAUCUCCCACCCGGCGUCCUAUUUCAACGACAUAAUAUAUUCUUGUCGUUGAUAAUUCCAGAGCAUCCGGGGAAUAAUAUGAGUGUGUAUAUGGAGCCUCUGAUUGAUGAUUUGCUCCGUGCUUGGGAGGAAGGGGUAUGGACCUAUGACCGAUCCACAAAGACAAACUUCAAGAUGCAUGUUUGGUACCAGUACUCACUGCAUGACUUGCCAGCAUAUGGGAUUUUCUCCGGAUGGUGUGUUCACGGGAAGUUCCCAUGCCCAGUAUGUAAAGCAUCUUUGAAGUUCAUUUGGUUGUCGAAAGGUGGCAAAUAUUCUUCGUUCGACAAACAUCGACAAUUCCUCCCUCCUGACCAUCCAUUUAGACGAGACAUGAAGAACUUUACCAAAGAUGUUGUAGUUACAGCCCCCGCACCGCCAAUGAUGACAGGGGCCGCAGUUCGUGCUCAGUUAGACGCUCUUGAGUUCAAGAAUGAAGAAGGUGGUUUUUUGGGAUAUGGCGAGCAACAUGCUUGGACGCAGAAGUCGUGCUUGUGGAAGCUUCCAUAUUUUGAUGAUCUCCUUGUUCCACAUAACAUUGAUGUAAUGCACACGAAAAAAAAA
rnacentral:lncRNA from 1 species